rnacentral:rRNA from 1 species
UACAGAGGUCUCAAGCGUUGUUCGGAAUUAUUGGGCGUAAAGGGCGCGUAGGCGGUUUGGCAAGUUUGGUGUGAAAUCUUCGGGCUCAACUCGAAGUCUGCAUCGAAAACUGCCGGGCUUGAGUAUGGGAGAGGUGAGUGGAAUUUCCGGUGUAGCGGUGAAAUGCGUAGAUAUCGGAAGGAACACCUGUGGCGAAAAGCGGCUCACUGGACCAUUACUGACGCUGAGGCGCGAAAAGCUAGGGGAGCAAACAGG